UAUUCUCCUAAGUUCCUAAUUAGAUUUCUCCUCCGUCGCACUCUGCUGCCGUCUUCCAUGGCGUCGUCGUCCCUCUGCGUCGCCCACAAGUGCUCUGUUCUGCUCCACUCGUCCGCCUUGCCUAUUGCAUCCCCUCGUCCCGCCUUGCCUCACUGCGCCUCGCGGUGCCUUGCCUCAAAUCGCCGCUCCUCAAAUCUUCCUCAUACUACACUAAGAACGGGAGAAAUGAUUUGCGGGCACAAUUGGCCUCUAUUUCCACUAGCAAUCAAGAAACUGAACUCACCAUUGACGAUGACUUUGAUAUCUCUGGAUUGAAGCCCCUCAAAGUCCCUACCCAGAUCUUCUUCAAACACUCUUCCAUGGAUACCCACAAAAAGGGUUCUGCAGAAGCUGAGUUUUUCACUGAGUAUGGAGAGGCAAGCCGAUACCAAAUCCACGAAGUCAUCAGGAAAGGAAGUUAUGGCGUCGUGGGCUUUGCCCUUGACACUCAUACUGGGGAAAAAGUUGCAAUCAAGAAAAUCAAUGAUGUUUUUGAACAUGUAUCGGAUGCUACAAGAAUCCUAAGAGAAAUUAAGCUCCUGCGCUUGCUUCGCCAUCCUGAUAUAGUAGAAAUUAAACAUAUUAUGCUUCCUCCUUCCCGUCGAGAGUUCAAGGAUAUCUACGUUGUCUUUGAGUUGAUGGAAUCUGACUUUCAUCAAGUAAUCAAGGCAAACGAUGAUCUUACACCUGAGCAUCACCAAUUUUUCUUGUACCAACUUCUUCGAGGCCUCAAAUAUAUACAUACAGAUAUGUGAUUUUGGACUUGCUCGAGUUUCUUUUAAUGAUGCUCCAUCAGCUAUAUUCUGGACUGUAAGUGUACUAUUGUGCAUGCCAUGUCAAUCUGUUACUUGUUUACCACCUCUUGCUGACUUAAUUUACUUACUCUUACUAAGGACUAUGUUGCAACUCGAUGGUACCGGGCACCUGAAUUAUGUGGUUCUUUUUUCUGUAAAUAUACCCCUGCAAUUGAUAUCUGGAGCAUUGGAUGCAUAUUUGCAAAGAUGCUCAAUGGAAAGCCAUUGUUUCCGGGUAAAAAUGUGGUGCACCAAUUAGAUCUCAUGACGGAUUUGCUUGGCAGUCCUCCACCUGAGUCCAUUGCAAGGGUAGCUGCUAAUUAUGUAGCAAUGGUUCCUUCCGGAUAAGUAUUUGAUAGGAAAAAAAGCGAAAGAUUAAUGCAGAAAAGAAGAGGAAAGAGCUCGAGAAGGAGAGAGCGAAGGAUGAACUUCUGAUGAGAAAGUGCCAGAAUGCUUUGGUGUUGCUUUGUGAUUGUAGGUGGUCCAAAAGCAGCAUGUGCUGGUUGUGCUGGCUUUGCGGCAUUCUCAGUCGUUAUAGAGAAAUUCUUAGACAUGCAUGAGUAGUUACCUAUUGAAUUGAAGUCACCCAAUUUUGUAUUCAUUAGGCAUAGCAUGGAUUUUCAUAGUGAUAAUCUUUUGCCCAUUUGCUAAAGAGCGCAUACAAAAUUGUAGUAUUUUAUUUUACAUCGAUUAUUGUUUAUUUGUAUACAAUAUCAAUUGGUGGAUGCAUUCCUCCAAUUCUAAACUAGAUGUAAGUA